rnacentral:lncRNA from 1 species
GCCUAUUCAGGCCCGGUACUAUCAUGGCAAUUGAGUAAUUUUCACAAUCAGGCAUUAAAGCAACAUGUACACAGGGAAUACAAAAUUUCAUUACACAGGAAUACAAUGUCUACAUAAUUUGCCUUAUCUCACUACUACAUAACAUUGUUCAACACGUAGGAGCACAUAUGGUACUAUUUUAACAAUGUCUUCAUUGCUCCCUCUGAUGGGCAAGUUCUCCAGGUGCGACAACUUGAAUUCCUACAAGAACAGAACAUUACAUGAAUAGAUCAAUCGAGGAGGAAACAGUAAAACAGGCUGAAAGCAUCACACAUACAAAUAAUAACAGCAUACAUUAAUGUAUAACAUAAUAAAAAAUAUCUAUAACCAGGGCUAUUUCUAGCCAACCUGUGUGCAUGAAUCAUAAUAGAUCAAGCAAAAGACAUAUAAACAUCAGCAUAUAGCAAAUAUUAGUGAAAGGGGACAAUUUCUAGUACUCGUCAUGUUUGCAAAGUGAGCAAGAACGAUUAUAUUUCCCUACACAUACUUUCUGACUUUUCCUUAGUCCUACAGUGAUCUGCUCACUCCAAUUCUAUCUACUCAACCCAUUCACAUGCAACAUGGAUAAUCAACUAGCCUCAUCAUUUGAAGCAUCUAGUCAAAUAAGUAAUUGGAAUGCAACAUGGAUAACUAUGCCCUAUGAAACAGUUCACGUAUCAAGAACCAUCAAAGUAAAUAAGGAACUCGUAUAGAACACCAACUCAAUCACCUUCACAGCAAUGAAAUCAUGGAUAGUUCUUCUAUUUAAUUGAAGUUCUCUAAGCUUCUCCCCCCAUUGAAAGCAGUCUACAAAAUAAUUGAGAACAAGGUCAGUGCCAAAAUAUUUCAAACCAUAUAAUUUCUUGCUAAUCUCAUAUACUGUUAUUCAAAAUAAAGAUGUAUUUUGCUGUAAGAUUUUAACGCUAGUACACAAGACAUAAAAAGGUACGAGCAAUCCUUGGUGAUCUGAAGCAGCAGCACAAAAUUUAAACACAGACAAUGCAUGCCAUAUUAAUACCAGCACAAAUAGAGAAAUGCAAAAGGCACCUCAUACUAGUAUGGUGAUCUUCGGCGCAAAUUUUAAGCUCUGUUUCAUGUGGAUAAUUUAUUUGGUUUCAGUAAACAACAACAUGCAGUAUAUAUGAAGGGUUCUUGGUUGCAUAACAGCUGAACUAAUCCCCCAUCUAGGGGGGGGGAUUACAACAGGUUCCUGCAGUACACUAGAUAUGCCAACAUUUUAGACUACUAGUACCUAGAAAUCAUAUGCAACUCUGUUUUUUGCUCUAGCCCAGCCACAAGAUCCUAAAAGAAAUUGUACGUAUCUGGUGCAUUUGACAUAAUAAAGUAGCUCCCGAACAAACAGAAGUUCUGCAUCUUCACAUCCCAAUUGAGGAGGUCUGUGGGAUAACCUACCCUGAGGAGCUCGCCGUGGGAUCUUCUCCAUGGCCAGCCCCCUUCUUUCACAACACCAGAUUGGCCUCUUCACGAAC